rnacentral:rRNA from 1 species
AGUGAACGCUGGCGGUAGGCCUAACACAUGCAAGUCGAACGGCAGCACAGUAAGAGCUUGCUCUUACGGGUGGCGAGUGGCGGACGGGUGAGGAAUACAUCGGAAUCUACUUUUUCGUGGGGGAUAACGUAGGGAAACUUACGCUAAUACCGCAUACGACCUACGGGUGAGAGCAGGGGAUCUUCGGACCUUGCGCGAUUGAAUGAGCCGAUGUCGGAUUAGCUAGUUGGCGGGGUAAAGGCCCACCAAGGCGACGAUCCGUAGCUGGUCUGAGAGGAUGAUCAGCCACACUGGAACUGAGACACGGUCCAGACUCCUACGGGAGGCAGCAGUGGGGAAUAUUGGACAAUGGGCGCAAGCCUGAUCCAGCCAUACCGCGUGGGUGAAGAGGGCCUUCGGGUUGUAAAGCCCUUUUGUUGGGAAAGAAAAGCAGCAGGUUAAUACCCCGCUGUUCUGACGGUACCCAAAGAAUAAGCACCGGCUAACUUCGUG